rnacentral:lncRNA from 10 species
GGAGUCCCCAGGCCCGACCACCACCCCCGCCUCCGGCGUCCUUGCAUUUUCUGAAGUUUCUCCUUUGAACACGCUCCUUUAUUUAUUGGGCCUCGUUUAACCUCAGCCAUGUCCUCCCAAGAUCAUUUAUUUGGUAACUGUCACUCAGCCUGCUCUGGCAUUAACCUCGUAAUCCUAUUGAUUUCCUCCAAGGUAGUUGGAGGUUUUUCCCGUCUUCUUGCCGGGCAGGUAGGGACUGAUUCUCAGUUCCAUUAUCGAGGAAGACGCCCCAGGCUGGUAAGGGGCCUGCCCGGAGGCCGUCUGGAGUUUCCUCGUUCUCACUGUGGCUCUCGCCAGCCUGCGGGAGACCGAUUCCUGAGGUCACCUCGGCUGCUUAAGUGUGAGAGUGAUGACAGCAAGCUGGUGGAAUAGGAG